CCAAAUGAUUGUGAUUUUCUUUUUAUAACUUUCAGGAUAUCAAUAGAUCUCCAUUCCUUUCCGAAGGUUAUGUAGUUGCCCAAAUAUCAAGUUGAAAUAAUCUGUCACUCCCCACUUCUCAAGUAAGUUCGUCGAACAUCAAGUGGACUGUUCCUUCCAGGGCAUAAAGAAGUAUGUUUUGUGUCUAAAUAUGGGAGUCC
rnacentral:lncRNA from 1 species